ensembl:snRNA U6 U6 spliceosomal RNA
GGUAGCUUUGACAGCCCAGGUGCUAAAAUUAGAACAGUGCAGAGAAGAUCUUGGCUCUUGCACCAGGAUAGCAUGUAAAUUCAUGAGGCAUCCUGUAUUUUU